AGACCGAUAGCGAACAAGUAGAGAGACCGAUAGCGAACAAGCACUUUGNGAAAGAGAGUCAAACAGCACGUGAAAUUGUUAAAAGGGAAGCGCUUGCAGCCAGACUUGCUUGCAGUUGCUCAUCCGGGCUUUUGCCCGGUGCACUCUUCUGUAGGCAGGCCAGCAUCAGUUUGGGCGGUAGGAUAAAGGUCUCUGUCACGUACCUCCUUUCGGGGAGGCCUUAUAGGGGAGACGACAUACUACCAGCCUGGACUGAGGUCCGCGCAUCUGCUAGGAUGCUGGCGUAAUGGCUGUAAGCGGCCCGUCUUGAAACACGGACCAAG
rnacentral:rRNA from 1 species